rnacentral:rRNA from 1 species
UACGUAGGGUCCGAGCGUUGUCCGGAAUUAUUGGGCGUAAAGGGUGCGUAGGCGGCGGAGUAAGUUGGGUGUGAAAUCCCGGGGCUUAACCUCGGAAUUGCAUUCAAUACUGCUUCGCUCGAGUACUGGAGAGGAGGCUGGAAUUUACGGUGUAGCAGUGAAAUGCGUAGAUAUCGUAAGGAAGGCCGGUGGCGAAAGCGAGCCUCUGGACAGUUACUGACGCUGAUGCACGAAGGCCAGGGGAGCAAACGGG